GGAGGGGUGGCUGAGUGGUCGAAGGCGCCUGUCUUGAAAACAGGAGUCCGGGCAACCGGACCGUGGGUUCGAAUCCCACCCCCUCCG
rnacentral:tRNA from 2 species